AAGAUAAAAAUUAUAAUGGAUCGACAGGCUCGUAAAGCAAAUUUAAAAAAAUUGCGUUUGACGGGUAUUAGACGUGAUGACAAAAAUAGUCUACGGAAAAAUCUAUCUGACAGUUCCUCGAUAUCAAAAUAUUUUAAAUCGCCAAUUACAAAAGAACAUAAGCAAAGUAGCCCUAAGGAAAACAACGGAUCGGGAUGUGAUAGUGAUGUAAUUGUUUCGGAACCAUGUGAUCACCCUGUGGAUUCUUUUAAAGAGCUUUCUAACAAAAAAGCCAAAAAAAGAACUAGUCUUAAGAAAUUUAUUAAUAAAGAUGGGGCAAAUAUGGAUAACGCCGUUAAAAAAGAAUUUCUUAAAAAUGAUGAUGAGGAUUUUGAAACUCCUGUGAAGAGAGUUAAGAAACCUAUAAAUGUUCAAAGAGUACGCCCUGCCUCGAAUCGUAAGAAAUCUCGAGGUAAGGACCAGCCAGAUAUCAAAUCGUCCCUAAUGCGAAGUGAAGAAGUUUUUUCUAAGAUUACGUCAGAAUAUUGCAAAUAUGAUAACUUUAGCCCUGAUGAAAUACACCUAGCAUUAGCUUUGUCAAAAUCGCAAAUGGAAACUAGCCACACAACCCACUUAGAUUUAGAAGAAGAUUCCGUUCAUAAAAAAGUAGAAAUCGACAAUGGAAAUUUGGAUAACGUUCAAGAUAUUUUACGUCAAUAUGGCUUUAGAGCAACGUCUUCAGAAGUGUAUAGCAGUUUAACAGCUCCGUUCUUACCAGGAGCGAAACGGCGAACCAAAACAAAGUGGGCCAACAAAUUUACUGCAUUAACUUUGCGUGAUCCCAAGUACCAAAUGAAAAAGCUGCAGGUAAAAAUAAACGCUCUAAUGGCUCAACAAGUUGACAUGAACUCAUUAGUUGUAGCGGAAAGUCAGAAAGGAACAUAUUCUUUACUCAGUAGUCAUCUGCAGAAGUUGCAACCAAACAAAUCCACGAUGAAAGUGUUUGCCGAUGAACAUAGGGCGAAUCUGGAUGAAUUUUAUGUAAGAAGUUUAUUUGAAGUGGCCAAUGUGCAAGCGGGUUAUUUGUUGAAAGAUUGGCAUGCUAUUGAGGGACGAGAUAAGUCACCUAAACAUAGGCCAAAUAAAAUUACUAACUUUUCAAAGUUUGAAGACCAUUAUGAAAAGAAACAUAAUUUGGAUUCAACGUCUCAAGGUGAAAAUGCCAUUUUGGAAAAGAAUUCCUCCGAGUCUUCCAUACUAACAAAUAAGUAUAAAGAAAGCAUAAAACAGGAAGGUAACCUUCGUAAUGAGAAAAUGUGGGGAAACACCAACGAGAGCGUGUCAGCUAACGAGCUUUUUGAAGAAAACAGUCCAGACCAUAGGAAUGAGGUUACUCCGGAAUUGAACAAAUUAAAUAAUUCCAUCAGCGAUACUAUCGAAAGCAAUAGUUGCACCUCGUCGAAAAACAACUCGGAAAGUUUCAAAACUUUGUCUUGCAGACUUCGAAUACUGUCUCCCAACAUAUUUGCGAGUUCAGAAGAUGAGUCAGAGGAAAGCAUUGUUCCACAAAUGUUAUCAGAGAACAAAAUGAAUGAAUCAACCGAGAAUGGUGAAGGAGAUGUCAUCGAUUUGACCCAGGAAAUACCUUCAGAUCAACCAGAAAUUGAUUCAAAUGCAAAAGUUAACGAGAGUGUACCUAUAGAUAACUUACAUAAAAAUGAAGGUCACGGAAAUAAGCUUGAAUCUUUUGAAAACGCGAAUUUAAUUGUGACAAAUACAUUAUAUGAUCAAUUCGAUGGUGAAGCACUUCCUACGACCCAUAUUUGUAGUUAUACAUCCUCGAAUGAAAAAUAUGUGGACGGACUAUUGCGUGAGACAGUCAAGCCCAAUAAAACAGUUUUUAAGUCACCUGUAGUAACAGCCUCUGAAAAUAAAAAGAAUAUAAGAAAUACACCGUUAAAUUUUAGUCGAAGUAAAUCUGAUUCAUUUGCUUCCAUCUCAGAAAACGCAAAUUCGUCCGCUGUUGCAAGCUCAUCUCUAACAUUCAGUAGUGAUAAUAUUAAUGAGGAUGGGGCAGAUUCCUCUGAAGAUUGUAUAGUUUUGUCAGACGAUGAAAUUAACUAUUCGAUUUGGAAAGCCGAUAAGAGCAUAUUAGAAUUGAAUGAAAAUACCACGAAGGAUGCCGAGCUAACGAACCGCAUGGAAUAUCGUAAUUACAACAACUUAUGUUCACUAUUAGAUGUAACGGAAGAGCAGAAGGCCUUAGAAAGUAAUACGGAUAAAACACCAAUACCCGAGGAAACGCUAUUUACAGACGAAGAUGCGUUUGAAGUGCGAAGUCCAUUUGCAAAAGCGAAUCGUUCUACGGAGCUUCUUGAGUUUGGAAUAUUAGAUAAUAUUUCAGAGCCAUUUACCCAAACAUAUGAAAUUCUCAAAACUUCUACAGACCAGGCCGAAACUAAUUCCUCUUUGAUAGUAAAUCAUAACACACCACUUGGAAUGGAUGACUUACUUACUGGGGAUAUAAGUUUCAGUAAGAUCAGGGAAACUGGGUGUUGUUCAGAAGUCAACACUCAUAUGUCUUCUUUGCAGCUGUGCACAUAUCCCCCUGACGAAUAUGAAAUCGAAGGAAGAAUUUAUUCAACUCAUAUUGUCACCGAUUCAAAACCAAACUUUACUCAUCAAACUGAAGCAGAAAUAUUAAAGCAACUAUAUGAAUUUGGAAUAAAACCGUUAAAACGUAAACAAGCAGUGAAGAUGUUAGAGUAUAUUUACAAUUCAACGCAUCCCUUAAUACUAGAUCAAACCCCCAAUUUGAUUAAGCAAACUGAGGGCGGAAUCGUAGUUCAUGAGCGCUCUGAAAAAAGUGAUUUUGGACAUUCAGUUUCCACGAAUUCACCAUCGGAUACAUUGCAAUUAAAGGACUGUUUUGGCUUUAAUAUGAGGUCGUUUAUACACAACUUACAGCUCGAUUGUGAAUGUGAUGAAUACAUUUUUCAAACAAAUAUUACAAAGAAGUACUUCGUUUGCAGACAUCACGACCGCUGUUACCUUUCCAUAUCGCCUGGUAUAAUCUUGUUUCUUCCAAUACUAUUUUGCAUGAAACUGUAUUGAUGUAUAAGCCUAUAGACUUACAGGAAAUUUUUUUAUUUUUCAAGCAACUUGGCUACCGAUAUGAACCAAAGGACAUAAAAGAAUUUCUUGACAGACGUUGUAUAAUUUUCCGCUACGAUUUAACCCAACCAGACCGUCAAAGCAACCGUCAUAUCCGAAAAUGUAAAACGAA
rnacentral:misc_RNA from 1 species